rnacentral:rRNA from 1 species
CAGCCGCCGCGGGAAUACGAAGGGUGCAAGCGUUACUCGGAAUUACUGGGCGUAAAGCGUGCGUAGGUGGUUGUUUAAGUCUGCUGUGAAAGCCCUGGGCUCAACCUGGGAAUUGCAGUGGAUACUGGGCGACUAGAGUAAGGUAGAGGAUAGUGGAAUUUCCGGUGUAGCGGUGAAAUGCGUAGAUAUAGGAAGGAACACCAGUGGCGAAGGCGACCACCUGGGCUCAUACUGACACUGAGGUGCGAAAGCGUGGGGAGCAAACAGGAUUAGAUACCCCAGUAGUCCCUGUCUCUUAUAC